UACGGAGGGUGCAAGCGUUAUCCGGAUUCACUGGGUUUAAAGGGUGCGUAGGUGGGAAUGUAAGUCAGUGGUGAAAUCUCCGUGCUUAACAUGGAAACUGCCAUUGAUACUAUGUUUCUUGAAUUUUCUGGAGGUCAGCGGAAUAUGUCAUGUAGCGGUGAAAAUGCUUAGAUAUGACAUAGAACGCCAAUUGCGAAGGCAGCUGACUACAGGGACAUUGACACUGAGGCACGAAAGCGUGGGGAGCAAACAGG
rnacentral:rRNA from 1 species